rnacentral:tRNA from 1 species
GGGGAUGUAGCUCAGUGGUAGAGCACUUGCCUAGCAUGUGCCAGGCCCAAGCUUCCAUCCCUA